rnacentral:rRNA from 1 species
UAUUGUAUAAAAUGGAAGAAGAUUACUACUUUUAUGAGAUGUUUCUGUAUAUAUUCAGGUAGCUGUGCAAUUUGUUUGUAUUGAAGUAUAUAUGUGAGUAUGUAUUGAAGAAACAAAUGAGCCGAUCUUGGAGGCAGUAACAAUAUAUUUGUAUAGAUAUAGACUAGGGUUUUCAAUGACUAUUGAAGUGAAUCGGUGUUAACAUAAAAACAAAGAAGAUUAAUAGUUCUUCAUUUAAUUACUCUAAGACGACUUGAUAAUGACGGUAUAUCAUGUUAUCUAAGAAAAAUGAAUUAGAUGAUGACGUAACUAUGGAUUGUCAUGAUAAGAAAUAGUUAUCUGUAUAUACNUGAUAAAAAAGAAGUAAUUUAACCGUACCUAUACCGCAUCAGGUGUCUUUGUAUCAUAACAAAUAUUUUAAAUUAAAGUAAGUAAGGGAAUUCGGCAAAUUAGAUCUGUAACCUUGGGAUAAAGAUUGGCUCUAGCAUGCUAGAACUUUUACUAUGUAAGGAAUCUGACUGUUUAUUAAAAACAUAGCUUUUUGUUGUUACAAGAAGUGAAUUCUGCCCAGUGCAUUUAUUGUUAAAGUUGUGUAAGCGAAUGUAAACGGCGGGAGUAACUAUGACUCUCUUAAGGUAGCCAAAU